CUGAAACAUAUUUUUCUAUUAAUAUUAUUUAAAUAUAAAAAUGCAUGUUUUCGUUAUAAUUUUAACUCUCAUACAUCUUCUAAGUUCAUUUAUUUAUCUGUUUCUCUUCUAUUCAGAAAAAGUGUGUAUGUGGGAAACCUUGUUCACUUUUUUUUGAGUUACAUCAGUGUCAGAGUUCAGCAACUGGGAAAUACUGCUUGUCAAAGAUCUCCUGGAAAAUUGAUUCUUACAAAGCCCAUAAGGUUUUAAAGCAUAUGAAGAUUGAAAAGACUGCAGAGAAGUGACGUUACUCAUUCCAAAAUCCUCAUCUGAGGCAGUUCACAACACAGUUUUGCAAGAGAUGUCUAUGCAAGUCCCACUUGCAUUUUUUGAUUCUGCAUUAUGAGCUUAUACAUGCCAGCUGUAGUCUCACUCAUAAUGAAUGGAGUUUACUGCAGGAAAUAUGUAACAGUAGGAUUUACUUAAAUUUAUCAGAAACGCUUUUAAUUUAGCUAGCAACAUUGCCUUGCCAGGGAAAGUUCCUCAAAGCACUUUACUA
rnacentral:lncRNA from 13 species